CUGGGUUUGACAUACACCGGAAAGCUGCAGAGAUGUAGCCCCUUUUAGUCGGUCUACAGGUGGUGCAUGGCUGUCGUCAGCUCGUGUCGUGAGAUGUUGGGUUAAGUCCCGCAACGAGCGCAACCCUCGUCCUAUGUUGCCAGCAAUUCGGUUGGGGACUCAUAGGAGACUGCCGGGGUCAACCCGGAGGAAGGUGGGGAUGACGUCAAGUCAUCAUGCCCCUUAUGUCAGGGCUUCACGCAUGCUACAAUGGCCGGUACAAAGGGCUGCGAUCCCGCGAGGGUGAGCGAAUCCCAAAAAGCCGGUCUCAGUUCGGAUUGGGGUCUGCAACUCGACCCCAUGAAGUCGGAGUCGCUAGUAAUCGCAGAUCAGCAACGCUGCGGUGAAUACGUUCCC
rnacentral:rRNA from 1 species